UGUUUUUUGUAAUGGCAAAAUCAUAGCAAAUGAGGUUUAUCAGAGGCAAGAUCAUUGCUAAUUGAAAACUUUUCCCAAUACCCUGCCAUAAUGACAUGAAAUGUAGUCCACAUUGGCAAUUUUUGAUAGUCUCUAAGGAGU